UAAGGGAAAUCUUCGGCAAUGGACGAAAGUCUGACCGAGCAACGCCGCGUGAGUGAAGAAGGUUUUCGGAUCGUAAAACUCUGUUGGUAGAGAAGAACGUUGGUGAGAGUGGAAAGCUCAUCAAGUGACGGUAACUACCCAGAAAGGGACGGCUAACUACGUGCCAC
rnacentral:rRNA from 1 species